rnacentral:rRNA from 1 species
AACGAACGCUGGCGGCAUGCCUAACACAUGCAAGUCGAACGAGACCUUCGGGUCUAGUGGCGCACGGGUGCGUAACGCGUGGGAACCUGCCCUUAGGUUCGGAAUAACUCCCCGAAAGGGGUGCUAAUACCGGAUAAUGUCUUCGGACCAAAGAUUUAUCGCCUUUGGAUGGGCCCGCGUUGGAUUAGCUAGUUGGUAGGGUAAAAGCCUACCAAGGCGACGAUCCAUAGCUGGUCUGAGAGGAUGAUCAGCCACACUGGGACUGAGACACGGCCCAGACUCCUACGGGAGGCUGCAGUGGGGAAUAUUGGACAAUGGGCGAAAGCCUGAUCCAGCAAUGCCGCGUGAGUGAUGAAGGCCUUAGGGUUGUAAAGCUCUUUUACCCGAGAUGAUAAUGACAGUACCGGGAGAAUAAGCUCCGGCUAACUCCGUG